CUUGUAGACUGAAGUUUGUGAGGAAAAGCUCACACGCUUGUAAACAGUAUCUCCUCAGGAAACAUUGAUAAAGCCUCUUAAGCACCUGCUUGGAUCCAACUGUUUAAAACGUUUACUGCCAGCAUUUUAGUUGGCCCACAGGUUUGGCUUGAAAUAGUUUCCCUGACCAACUAAGCAAGGUAUUCUUCAAGUCUCAAGGAUGAAAAUCAAGCACAGAUAAAAAGUCUAUCGUAGUCGUUUUGGUCCAGUUGUUCCGCUCUGUCAGAGAUGUCAGAGCGAACUGAAGCUCAGUUCGGUUGGCCCACAUCAAAAGAUGGGUCUGAGGGGUGUCCUGGUCCCGGACCUGGGUCCGCUUGAGUGUAUUCAGACUUCUGGAUUAUCGGGAGAAGGUGCCUGUCUGAAAGGCGCUGGGCACAAGGAAUGUGACAGAGGCAUAUUUCCGAGGCUGGUUGUGAAGGCGCUGGGUUGAGUCACGCUCCAGCAUUUUCUGCCCCAGUAAACUUAACCUACUUUACCCACUGCUGAG
rnacentral:lncRNA from 1 species